rnacentral:lncRNA from 1 species
AGAUGGAAUUCUUUUUCAUUUUAUUUUAACGACAGGAACAAGAAAAAUAAAGGAAAUUUUCUUUUUUAAUUGAUUACUUUGUCUUGGGCUCUUGAUUUUGUCUGGUAAUUUCUUUCUUUUUUUUUUAAGGAAGAAAAAAAAAGUCUAUACAGUGUGUAGGGGGGGGGGAGAGAAGAAUAGAAGGGAAACAUUAAAAAAUAUAUAUCCCCACUCGACUGACCACGCAUUGGUUAGAUUUUUCGUUUUAUUACGACGAUAUUUAAUACAAAAGUCGUCACCGACCGCGGUAACAUACAUUUAGUGGGUUGACGACGAUCGUUUCACUUUGCUCCAUACAGGAACAUGACGAAAUUAUUAUAAAAAAAAAAAAAAAAGUUAUUAAAUAAAUGGAGAAAAAAAAAGGGAAAUGUAGAGAUAAAACUGCCGAAAACACGGGACUUGAUAAAAAACGGCAAUAAACAACAAAACCGGUCGAUAUUGACGUCAUUUUGUGUUUGUGUUUACCUUCAGUUCUUCAUUUUAAAAAAUCGCCAGCUGUACACAUGAUGAUGCAGAAAAGAAGGAUCUACCUAUAAUAUGAAAAGGACGCAAACUGUGUGUACAUUCGGCGACAUAUUUCCCCUCUUUUCUUUAGUGCAUGUUUCAUUUCUCUAUGCGUCUGUUGUCGUGUCGUUUUGUGUGCGCGUACACCGACGACUCAUUAUUAUCUCGAGCGACGCUGGGAUAUACGACACGCGAUCAACAACAUGUAAUUUAUUUGAAAGUAAUCCUCUUUGAACGUUACAUGCGCCUGGGCAAUCAACUAACCAGCCAAACUGGUAAAUGGACAAACAAGUCGUGACCAGAUUAAAUCGGUGAUUGAAUUUUAAUGCACUGUGUAUCGGAACAAAAUUAAAAAUUCAGUUCUGGAAUUCGGAGAUAAUCUAUUUACUGCGCGCAGCUUCAUUAACAAUUGCAGAAUAAUUUAAAAAAAACGAACGUUGAAGCCUGCUGAUUAUUGUGGCUGAUUCGUUUCAAUCGGAACCGCACCGAGGAGCUCAAUUCGCAAAACUGCUACUGGUAGAAUUUUAGCUCAUUAUUUCUAUUUGUUAUUCUUUGCCCCCGCUGAGCAUGAAUAUUUCAUUCCAUGUGUCACUCGCCCUAACAACACAAAAUUAAACGAGGAUAAAGAAAAUGGGGUUCUUUUUUAAAGGAGACUUGUAGUUUCGAUGGUUGGACGUUUGAAAUGGAAAUAGUCAAAUUAGUUGAUGACAUCAUUUUAUUCAUAACUCUAAAAUAGAUUGGGUUUUGCCAAAUCUGACCUGAUAUUCAAAAUCCUCGUUGAAUUUCGAUCAAAAUGGGUUAGUUUUGUUCAAUUCUGAGACAUGGCCCAUUUUCAGAGAUUUUGAAAAACAGCAAAGGGUAUAGCCUUCCCACUUUUGCGAUUUUUGGUCAAAUUCCAACUUGAGCUAAAAACACUUGAUUUCUACUAUAAAUUGAACGAGGAUCAAGAAAAUCAGGUUCAUUUUGAACAGAGACUUGUAGUUUUGACGGUAGGACGUUAGAAAUGGAAUCGUCAAAUUAGAUGACGACAUCAUUUUAAUCAUAACUCUAAAAUUGAUUAAGUUUCACCAAAUCUGAUCACCGAAGAGCUCAGUUCGCAAAACUGCUACUGGUAGAAUUCUAGCUCAUUAUUUCUAUUCGUUAUUCUUUGCCCCCGCUGAGCAUGAAUAUUUCAUUCCAUGUGUCACUCGCCCUAACAACACAAAAAAGCAUCGUGAUUUGCGUCAACAACCGCACACAAUCCUGUCGUCGUGCAACCCGACACGAAUCGUCAACUUGUCAAGAACUUGUUCGAUUUCGAAAAGGGACUAAAAUGAAAACGGGUUUUUUCUCUCUUGCUCGUUUUCUUUUUAUCUUUUUCUUAGAGUUGCUGUGCUGACGGUGAAUGUCACCGACGCUAUGUAAUAAUGCGUAGCUAUUUGACUUGCUACAUAUAGAGAGGAUAGAGAGAGAAGAUAGAAAAACCGGGAUCGUUUCAUUGCGUCAUGACGUUCGAUGUCUAUACUUGCGACAUCAGCAUGGCACUAGCAAUUAAAAAGAAAAUCGUUUCAAAAACGAUAAAAAGCCCAUUCUUUUUUUGUUUCAUUUUCUCACCUGGCGUUGGUCACGUUUUUCUCCCACACAAAUUCUCCGUCCAUACAUUUUUUUCGUUUUUAACCUUUUUUUAAAAAAAUAUUAUCUUAUAUGGCGCAUUAUCUCGGAAGAAGUCAAAUGAGUGCAAACGUCAAUCAUGACCCGUGGAUGAUGAUAUCAUCCUCCGUGCAAAUAAAGUAUAAAUAAUGUUUAGAGCAUGAAUCACGUGCUGCUGACUGUAGAUUUAAAAAAAAGGCGAGACUGUUGAACUAUUGCAAAGUCAGCGAUAAAAUUAAUCGUCUGCUAGUUUAAUGAGGACACCCCACCAUUUUGGAGAGCCUUAUCUACAUACCAAUUUUGAAAUAUUCCCUUUUCUUAUUCAAACAAAAGAUAUAUAUCCGCAAUUCUUUAACGGCUAUCUCAGUUUGUAUUUGUUUGUUUUUUUCUCUUUUUAUUUUGGCAUUGCCACUCCCGGAGGUGACGAAAGACGAAUGGAGAAUAGCGGAAACAUUGACGUUAAAACAAAACAAAAAAUGAAACACACAAAAAGAAAGAGACAAUGCUUACGUGACACAAGUGUUGUUUGUCUUCAGCCUCUUUUCUUGUUAUAAAUACAAGUAGGUGUGAAAAACAAAACAGGAGCGCUGGGUACGGCUAUAUAUAUAUCACAUCUAUACAGUAUAUAGGAAAGCGUUUCUGUUGCUUUUUAUGUUUUAUGUUGUAUAGGUACUAUGCAAGCGUUCUGUCACCUAGAGCGGCGGCCAUCUCUUACACAACUCUCCCUAGUUCUUUUUUUUUAGCUCGUAAACAUAUGCAGUCAAAGCAACGACACAACAAGAGAAAUAGCGAAACAAAGCAGACAAAAAAAAGUCGGCUUUGGGUGGAGAAAGAUUUACGUUUGUGAUACAGCUUAUCGGCAGAUGCGGUACUGUACAAACCAGAGUUCGUGAAGCGUGCACCGCCGAGCAGGCUGUCCUUGAAUCAAAAGAAAGCAAGUUAUGCUAUACCUUGUGUCUUUUUUUAUUCGGUCCAAAGUCGUAUUUUGUUUUCACAAUAAAAAGUAAGAAAAGUUGGGAAAACAAAGUAGCAGUCAAACUUUAUCAGCGCAUACUUUUUGCGAGUCAACUGCUGUUGACUUUGCAACGAGAAAAGAAGCUGGCCUUAGGCAGCUACCCAAGUGUAGAUAGCAACAAGAAACGAUUGCCUAUCGCUUUCUUGUUUCUCCGCUUGAAUAUUUUUAUUGGCCGCUUAUCCGAAUUGAUUUUGAAAAAAAAUGGUUUCCCAAGCCUUUCGGGAGAGGCAACAACAAAUUGAAAGGCAAACGACAUUCACGCCCAGAGUUUUUUUUUUCUUUUUCGGGUCUUGUUGAGACAUUUAGGAGAUCGGAGCGAGGUCGUCGUUUACGCAGGUUGUCCCCUUCGUUCAAAGCGCUCCUCUUCAAGGAGGCAGUAAAAAAACCAAACAAAAAAAGCGACAUCUUUUUGUGUAAAAGAUUGCGCCUAAAGAGAUGUAGCGCCUCGAUCGGAAUGGGAGCAUUGUUCCAGUGUCAAGGCAUAAUAGUGAGGCGGGGUGAUAUAAGUCUGUCAACCGAAAUGGCCAAGGAACUCUCCGGCAAAGUAAUUGGAGCUUGAAGAAUUUCAAGUUUGGUUUUUGUUUUUUUCUCAGUUGCCUUGACAUUUAGCGAUCGUCUUUUCUUUUUCUUUUUAAAUUUUUUUAUCAUUAUUUUGGUGGCUUUAAGGUAGGAAGUGUUUGCGGUGAACGUCGCAUUCCAACAGUGACAGAGUGUCGAAGUAAUCUUCGUUCAUUGGGCCGCUAAUGAAAAUUCUUAUCAGUUUGAUUGCAAAAACGAAUGUGCUUUUCUUUCACAUUGUAUCCAAUCUGAUAUAGAGAACGAACGAGGCUAUCAUCUGUGGAAUGGCAUUUUUUUUUAUUUUAAAGGGAAACCCCAUGCGAAACGGACGAAGGCCAUCGGCAAAAGUGAAACACUUUCGUGAGCGACGACAACCCAAGCAGAGAUUCUAGAAAUGGAAUGAGAUGGAACAAUCUCGCACAGCCUUUUCUGUUUCAGUUAUGGCUCAAUGCCGAAUUCUUUAAAGAAAAAAAAAUAACACUAAACUCCUUUUCCUUUUCGUUUAAAAGAACAAAUAUUUUCAUUCUCCCGCAACGCCAUUUCACAUCAACGUUCGCCAUUUUUGUUUUCCCCCCUCUGGAAACAUCCCAUCUUUUCCUCUAGAAAAUCUCUGUCAUCCAUGAAAAGAAACGUUGCCAAUUUGGCAUGCAGCUCUUUUCUCUACGUGAUGCUCCGUCUAACUUUGAGAUCACUUCCGACAACGUUCACAAGUGGCCGGUGUCGGGACUUUAGCGUUGAACUUGGCACACUUAUCGGCACCACUCAGUCAAUAUUCAAAAUUCCGUUUGGCUGGCCACAAAACGUGUGAGGGAGGACUUUAUGGCGAGCGGGCAACGAAAAGGUGGCCAUGUUCAAACAACACUGGCACACGGUAUCAUCUAAGUGAGCAUAGUGUGUUGUGUUUGCUGGACUUGUUUGCUGUGGAGGCACGACGAACGGCCGUAUAGAAACCGGCAAGUCGAUAACAACGCCACGAAAAGUCCCCGCACGUUCUCCCACCCCACAUCUUUCGUGUACACACAGCCGAAAUGUUUGCCGAAAGUUAAAGUUGGGAAAUAUGUAUACAUCCCCACGUCGAGUGAUCCUCUGAAUUGGUAUCCAGCGCGAUCACGUAUUCAACGCAAAUACGCGCGUGAAUGUAGAGCUGCAUUUGUCGAAUAUUUCAACAAUAUACGAUGAAUGAGUAUAAAGUGAGGGCCGUAGACGAGCCACUGAAAAGAUAAUAAUAAGUGGCUCUUUCUCGUUCCCGCAAUCCGCCAGCGGUGGCUAGCAAUAAGGGAUUUUUUGUUUUUAUUUAUUUUACUGCUGCUUUUCAUUCGAGAUUACAGCUGCGUGAAUUCCGGGAACAGGAGUCCCCCUCUCCUUUUUUACAUCAAGCACCGGUACCAACUGGUUUUAGUUUUCAGUGUCCUUGAAAACGUGCCUCCAUUUUUUGUUCUUUCUCGAUUUCAGAAAAUAACACGUCCUCUCGAGUGUGCGUAAUGAACAUUACACGAAGCUCAGUCCUCUCUUCAUGCCGAAAUCGAGGAAUAAUAACGAAAAAAAUGUCGGAUAGUGUGUUUGUUAUUAUUAUUUUCCUGGUAGCUGGUGCUUUUCAAUCGAGAGUUGGGCAUAUCACACAAAAAAUGGAUGUGCAAGUUGAGAUAUAAACAAGGAUUUUUAUAAUCCGGUGAGCGCUGCAUUACAUUUUUCGAGAAGUUUGCAUUGAGCCCAGCGAUUUUAGGUGCGUUGUUCAAACGAGGAUUAAAAGGAAAAUACCAAUUUUCGAGUUUUUUUUUUGUUGUUGUUGUAAGUUUUUAUUUCCCUGUGUCGACUUUAAGAACAAACCAUUGUCCAUUUUUGUGUAUAGUAGGACUACAGGGAUCCAUCAAGGAAAAAGAAGGAAUGCCCAACCAUUGAGGCACCACUUGUACACAGGUACAAAUCCAGUGGAAAUUAUACCUUUUGGCCUAUAUAUAGAAGGUGCAUACCAUGCAUACUUUUUCCCAAAAAAAAUAAAUAGGAAAAAAUGUGGAAAAAUAGGAGGCAGAAACCAUACUGGUUUUUAAACAAAAAAAAAAAAAAAAGAAAUUUCUUUGAAUUUUUCUUGUUCUGCCUAUUUUUUUUUUUUUUUCGCUCUUCGAGCUCAGCGUGUUCUCAAAAUGCUGAUAAUACCACCCGAGCAUCGACUUCGAUUGUGAUGCAAAUGAGCCCACUACACACACACAAAAAGAAAGGGGGGGAUGGCUCUCUGCUUUUGUGCUGGCCAUUGCAGUUGAAAAGAAAUGGAAUUGCGGUUGUCCCGUUCGUUUUUCGUACCAAAUCCACUUUCUUUCUUGUUCAUAUUUCGUUUUUUUUUCCCUUCCUCCAUCAACUUCGGGCUUCUUUACUCUUGUUCGCCCCGUUGCAAGUCGUGAUCCAGUGGACCGGGCGUUCGGCCGAGCCGACUUUUCAUGGUAAUCAGCUGCGGUAAAUCAAAGAAGAAGAGGGGAAUAGAAAGAAGCGCUUUUUUGAAGUAACCUCCUCGUCCUCCAUUGACUUGGGCAUGAACGGACAUAUACCAACGGGGAUCCUACUAUUCCUCCCCCUUUUUUUUUUUACAUAUGGCUUCGAAUCGACGCUCGAAAAGAUCGAUUCACUCUGUCCGAUGUGCGAGCCCAUAGAUAUUAUAUUUUCUUGGCUCUACAUUUAAACAAACAAAAAAAAAAUGUCUUUUUAUUGUCCUGUUUGAAAGAAAAAUUCUCAUUUUCAUUUAUUAUUUUUUUAACGUGUAAUUAUGCAAUCAUCGGUGUAGUUUCGUGUUUGGAGGCGCAGACAAAGCUGCUGGCCAUAAUCAGAUGUGAAUAUCUAAAUAAGGGCAAAAUUAGGCUGUGUGAGUCGGCGAUGUAUAGGGCGGCUCUGCCUUUUGCCCUCGUCUGUUUUUAUGCCUUCAACUGCAUGUGAGGUCUCGACUGGUGUAGGUCCUCCUCCUAUACGCACUGGCGUGCCACUAGACUGUACCACACGUACUAUAUAUACUGCCUUUUCAACCUUUCAACCUUAUAUGUGUAUAUAUACCUUUCGUACCACCCACAAUCGGUGAGCAGGGCUUAUAUUCUGAUUGGAUCUGGAGAGAAGAAAUGCAAACUUUUUCGUUUGCUACAAGCUAAAAUAGAACUGUGUCUUGGUCGUAGAAUAAGAUAAGAAAGGUCAUUUGCCCGUGUUCCAUUUUUCGGACUUGUCGGAAAGUGACUGACGUCUUGACGAGCGUGGAAAUGUAUUGUAACAAGGUCAUCAUCUAUCGGUCGUUGGACUCGGCCAGGAAAACUUCAAACCACCAGAAAUCUACGGAAAUAGAUUCAUUUUAAAGAGGUUCGUCUUUCAGGCGGCGCCUCAAGGAUUCCUGUGAGGUCUUUUUGGUCUGUGUGGGUAUAAACACAGACUGUUAGCAUUUUUUUUGUUUUUUCGCUCGACGACCUUUCUAACCCCGGCACCUCCUCCACAGACCAGCCCAAAGUCUUAACUAUUGCCUUUUUUUUUUUUUUUCCUCCAAUUUUAACAUGGAAACACGAAACAAAAAUUUCCCAAUUCCCCACGAAUGUGAGUGCGGCGCGCACAAGUUCUACGCGGAGCCGUGAGCCAUUAAAAGCCUACACACAAGACCCCCUCCCCCCACACAGUGUACUACCCCGCAUAUAUACCUACCAGCUGCGCUCUCUCGGUGUGACCACAUCCUCAAGUUCGACUUUUCGAGGGCUCUAAAAAAGAAUUUUUUUUUUUUAAAUAUAUAUUUCUCCCUUUCAACAUACCGAUACAAGCAUUUUUAUCUCUUUAUCUGUUCCUCUUCGUGUCCUCUAGAUAUUAAUGAGAAAAGAAAAGAAAAAAAAUCAUAAUAAUAAAAGAAAUAAAAAUAAAAAGAACUGCCUGAUCUUCUAACCUUCACCGGAGACGACGAGUUGCGGCGACAUCGGAGACGACCGGCCAAAAAAGAAAACAAUAAAAAAAUAAAAUCUAAGCAAUUUCGAAUUAUUUCUUCUUCUUUAUUUGGCGUUGUGGUCAGCACCUCAAGAAGAAGAAAAACAAUUUCUUUUUAAAUAAAACGUUAAAAAAUAAAAAGAGCACGAACGCCGCAAACUCGUGCACUCCAGCAGCUCGACACGUGGAAGGGACAGGUUAGAAAAGAAAAAAAAGAAGAGCUUCAGUCAAAAUAGAAGCAAAACAUAUUUCAGGUUUUCUUCAUUUUGGAAUGAGGGUUAAAAAAUAUUUAAAAAAUAAACAAAAGAAUAAGGGAAACAAUAGAACCGAGAGAGUAAAAAGGGCUCCGCUCUAGUGUUCUUCAGCUUCUUCUCGCUUUUUGUGUGUGUGUGUGUGUUGUUGUUCCAGUCGUAUAGCGCAUCGCAAAAGAAGCCAAGUCAUCAAUGCAAAGCCCAGGCACGGCGGUGUUGGGGUAUCUCUCUAGUCUCUCCCAACUUCUUCUUCUUGCACCUAGUUCUUCAGCAGAGAGGGGAAACUGUGUUCUUCAUCGUCGUCCCGAGUACCACCUGUCAUCCCUAAGGCAACGUCCACGGUUCUCUUUUUAUUUUUGCUGGCUGCUGCAUAUACGGACAUGCUGUAUAGAAUUACGUAUAUAAAUAUUGUAGCUCAAGCACAAAAACCAUCUUCCUCUUCGUCCCUUCAACAAUUUUUGUUCCCCCUUUUUUAUUUUAUUUAAAAAGAGGGAUUCUCUUCAGAUUGCGUUAUCACACACACACACACACACAAAUAGAGCUGUGUAUUCAUUUCACGUCUAUACUAGAUAUAAAAAUUAUGUGUAGAAGCUCUCGGUCGCGGCCAGGAUGCGGGCUGUCUGUUGUUGUAAAGGGAAACCGUACGAUAAAUUUAUGUAUAUCGUUUAAAUGACGCCCGCUGAUGUUCCAUCCGUUCGAACCUUUUCUCUCUUUCUCUCGGUUCCCUUUUUCUUUUCUUUUUUUUUUGUGGGCGUUCAAUUUUCAACUGUUCACCCCGUUCAUAAUUUGAAACGAUCAAAGCUCAAUAGAGUAGGGGGACGAUUGCUCGUUCUUUAUUAUUUUCUUCUUUUACUGCCUGAGAUCCCGGUUGAAAGAAAAAGAAAAUGGUUACAUCAAGGAUAAUCAAAUUUCACGAGUGUUGCGUCUCUUUUUUUUUCUUUCCCGCACUACGUAAUUGGUUCCAUUCGGUGUUCAAAGAAUAAAGGCUGAAUAAAGUUAAAAAAAAAAAAUAUUUUUUUAAUGACUCGAACCCG